AUCCAGCUGACGAGUUCCAAAUAGGACGAAACGCGCGUCAAACCGUAU
rnacentral:hammerhead_ribozyme from 1 species